rnacentral:lncRNA from 1 species
GUCCGGGCGGAGCAGCGCUUGCUGAUGGUGGUUCCGCCGUGGGUUCCGGCUGUGGGUAAUUUAUACCCAACACCAGUCCCCCUACAUCCGAGUUUUGAAUUUCAAACGAAGGAAGUACACAGAAGUACAGCCGGAACCGUCCCUUCAAAUCCCGCGCCCUGCCGCUCCCAGAUAUCUUGGCAUUAAAUGAGCGCGUGCCGGAGUCUUUUCGAAUUGGGGCGGUACGAGGGGACGCUUCGAAGACCCCGCAGGUACGCUGUCUUAGGUACGGCGCAAUUAUGGCCCUGCCAACCGCCAGCCACCUUCAGCCGUCUGCCACGGAGGGUGGGACACGUGUCGGAUGCGGACUGGCCUGGGGGGAUUGGAGAUCAUUAUGGCGCCGGAUCCCAGGGUCUAUUUAAACCCAUCCUCCCCCCUUUUCUUUUCUUGUCGUUUUGUCCCUCUUUUUCUGGCCGUCCUAGCCCUGUAGCACAUAUAUUGGAAAUGAGAAAAAGGCAUUUUGUGUUACCUUGUCCGCGCGUAGCACUAAUAUUGUCGUUCGUUGACCCUUUCUCGUUGUUCGGCCUGUUUGGCUUAGAGGUCGCCGUGGGAAAGGGCUCUUCCCUUCCAUCCGAUCUCGUCAUGUGGCCGAGCCUCGCCACCGUUUUUAACCCUUGCUGGCGAAGUGGUGGAUGGAGCCUGGCUUUCUUAGGAGCCCGGGCGAAGUCUUUCUUGGGGGCGGAACCCGGCUCCCGUAGGAGUCCGGGUGAAGCUUUACCUGAUGACGGAACCCGGUUCCUGUAGGAGUCCGGGUGAAGCUUUACCUUGGCGGCGGAACCCGGCUCCCGUAGGAGUCCGGGUGAAGCUUUACCUAGGCGGCGGAACCUGGCUCCCGUAGGAGUCCGGGUGAAGCUUUACCUUGGCGGCGGAACCCGGCUCCCGU